rnacentral:lncRNA from 1 species
CCACCACCUCCCUACCAUGGACCCCCGCAAAAUGAAAAUGCGGAGAUAACGGAGGAGAUGAUGGAUCAGGCAAAUGAUAAAAAGUGGCUGCUAUUGGAGACCCAAAUGAUGGUGAACUCCAGAAAGCCGUUGACUUAUUCACAGAUGCCAUCAAGCUGAAUCCUCGCUUGGCCAUUUUGUAUGCCAAGAGGGCCAGUGUCUUCGUCAAAUUACAGAAGCCAAAUGCUGCCAUCCGAGACUGUGACAGAGCCAUUGAAAUAAAUCCUGAUUCAGCUCAGCCUCACAAGUGGCAGGGGAAAGCAUACAGACUUCUAGGCCACUGGGAAGAAGCAGCCCAUGAUCUUGCCCUUGCCUGUAAAUUGGAUUAUGAUGAAGAUGCUAGUGCAAUGCUGAAAGAAGUUCAACAUAGGGCACAGAAAAUUGCAGAACAUCGGAGAAAGUAUGAGCGAAAAUGUGAAGAGUGAGAGAUCAAAGAAAGAAUAGAACGAGUUAAGAAGGCUCGAGAAGAGCAUGAGAGAGCCCAGAGGGAGGAAGAAGCCAGACGACAGUCAGGAGCUCAGUAUGGCUCUUUUCCAGGUGGCUUUCCUGGGGGAGUGCCUGGUAAUUUUCCCAGAGGAAUGCCU